UCCAGACUCCUACGGGAGGCAGCAGUGGGGGAUAUUGGACAAUGGGGGGAACCCUGAUCCAGCGACGCCGCGUGAGUGAAGAAGUAUUUCGGUAUGUAAAGCUCUGUCAGCAGGGAAGAAAGCAAUGACGGUACCUGACCAAGAAGCCCCGGCUAACUACGUGCCAGCAGCCGCGGUAAUACGUAGGGGGCAAGCGUUAUCCGGAAUUACUGGGUGUAAAGGGAGCGUAGACGGCUGUGCAAGUCUGGAGUGAAAGGCGGGGGCCCAACCCCCGGACUGCUCUGGAAACUGUGAAGCUGGAGUGCAGGAGAGGUAAGCGGAAUUCCUGGUGUAGCGGUGAAAUGCGUAGAUAUCAGGAGGAACACCGGCGGCGAAGGCGGCUUACUGGACUGUAACUGACGUUGAGGCUCGAAGGCGUGGGGAGCAAACAGGAUUAGAUACCCUUGUA
rnacentral:rRNA from 1 species